rnacentral:rRNA from 1 species
UACGGAGGGUGCAAGCGUUAAUCGGAAUUACUGGGCGUAAAGCGCACGCAGGUGGCUGAGUCAGUCGAUUGUGAAAGCCCUGGGCUUAACCUAGGAAUUGCAGUCGAUACUACUCAGCUAGAGUAUGGGAGAGGGCAGUGGAAUUCCCGGUGUAGCGGUGAAAUGCGUAGAUAUCGGGAGGAACAUCAGUGGCGAAGGCGACCCCCUGGUUGGAUACUGACGCUGAGACGCGAAAGCGUGGGGAGCAAACAGG